GCUAAGAACAGCUGGGAAGAUUCUGGAAGCAGAGGACAUCAUUAAGGACUAAGAACUAAGAUGGAAGGAGAGGUAGGACCCAGUCUCACUCCUGCUCAUCGGCUGUGCCUGCAGCAAUGCCUGACAAUGGAAGGCCCCGCAAGGAAAUGUGCUUGAGGACAUAAAUGAUGGACUAAUGGGACCUGGUGGCUCACAGGACCCGAGUGCAGCGUUGGCAAUGAGCACCUGGGAAGCUUGGUCUGAACAUUCAUGAUCCAGACAAUUAGCAAGUCCCACAUGAGGGCCCAAGGAUAUUUGUCAUUUGGGGAAAGCAAAAAUUGGCAUCCUCCCUACCCUGAAGCUGAGAACUCAUUUCAUUAAGGACUGUCCCCUCCAGGAGCUCGGGGCCACAGGAAGCAAGUUGAAAGGCAGGAGUGUCUGUGUCGGGGGAGCUUCACAACCAGCAUGGAGAGUGACGAACGGGCUGGAGUCACCACUCCCACAAAUAAACCAAGCGGACCAAAUUUAACUUUUACAUAAAUUAAAUUCAAACA